UACAGAGGUCCCAAGCGUUGUUCGGAUUCAUUGGGCGUAAAGGGUGCGUAGGCGGUUGGAUAAGUCAGCUGUGAAAACCACGGGCUUAACUCGUGGCCUGCAGUUGAGACUGUCUGGCUUGAGUGUGGGAGAGGAGAGUGGAAUUCCUGGUGUAGCGGUGAAAUGCGUAGAUAUCAGGAGGAACACCGGUGGCGAAGGCGGCUCUCUGGACCACAACUGACGCUGAGGCGCGAAAGCUAGGGGAGCAAACAGG
rnacentral:rRNA from 1 species